rnacentral:rRNA from 1 species
UGCGCAAGUCAUUGGGACAUUUGCAAAGCCUAAAGGCGUAAUGAAAGUGAAGGUCCGCUCUUCGGGGCGGACCUAGGGAGGAUGGGGCGCGCCGCGGCGCGCCCUCGCACUCCCGGGGCGUCUCGUUCUCAUUGCGAGUUGAGGCGCACCUAGAGCGUACACGCUGGGACCCGAAAGAUGGUGAACUAUGCCUGGUCAGGACGAAGUCAGGGGAAACCCUGAUGGAGGUCCGUAGCGAUUCUGACGUGCAAAUCGAUCGUCGGAACUGGGUAUAGGGGCGAAAGACUAAUCGAACCGUCUAGUAGCUGGUUCCCUCCGAAGUUUCCCUCAGGAUAGCUGGCGCUCGUUGUAUGCGAGUUUCAUCCGGUAAAGCGAAUGAUUAGAGGCAUUGGGGUCGAAACGGCCUCAACCUAUUCUCAAACUUUAAAUGGGUGAGAUCUCCGGCUUGCUUGAUGCUGAAGCCGCGAGAGUUUAGAAUCAGAGUGCCAAGUGGGCCACUUUUGGUAAGCAGAACUGGCGCUGUGGGAUGAACCAAACGCAGAGUUAAAGCGCCUAAAUCGACGCUUAUGGGAUACCAUGAAAGGCGUU